rnacentral:rRNA from 1 species
AGCGAACGCUGGCGGCAGGCCUAACACAUGCAAGUCGAACGAACCUUUCGGGGUUAGUGUCGGACGGGUGAGUAACACGUGGGAACGUGCCUUUAGGUUCGGAAUAACUCAGGGAAACUUGUGCUAAUACCGAAUGUGCCCUUCGGGGGAAAGAUUUAUCGCCUUUAGAGCGGCCCGCGUCUGAUUAGCUAGUUGGUUGAGGUAAUGGCUCACCAAGGCGACGAUCAGUAGCUGGUCUGAGAGGAUGAUCAGCCACAUUGGGACUGAGACACGGCCCAAAAUCCUACGGGAGGGAGCAGUGGGGAAUCUUGCGCAAUGGGCGAAAGCCUGACGCAGCCAUGCCGGGUGAAUGAUGAAGGUCGUAGGAUUGUAAAAUUCUUUCACCGGGGACGAUAAUGACGGUACCCGGAGAAGAAGCCCCGGCUAACUUCGUG